CACCAAUGCACAAACUGGAUGGUAUGCUUGGUCUUGACGGUGGCAAUGGCAGCAUUGACAUCUUUGGGAACCACAUCACUGUGGCACAACAGGCAGCAAGCCAUGUAUUUACCGUGGCGAGGGUCACAUUUCACCAUCUGGUUGGCUGGCUCAAAGCAAGCAUGGACGAUCUCUGCUACAGAAAACUGUUCACGGUAGGCUUUUCUCAGCAGAGAUCACAGGGGCAUAUGUGGCUAGAAGGAGGCAGAAGCAGGGAUAGGUCACCAGGUUGGUCUAGAAUUCUGUCAGAUCAACAUUUAGGUCCAUCAAUCUGAGGGAAGCAAUGACAGAGGACACAAGUUGACCUAUCAACCUAUUCAGGUUAGUAUAGGUUGGGCGCUCAGUAUCGAGGGUUCUAUGACAGCUCUCACAGAUGGCCUCAUUGUCUACCAUGAAGGCACAAUCAGAGUGCUCCAUGGUGGUGUGGGUGGUGAGGAUGGAGUUGUAGGGCUCAAAUACCGCUGUGGAAACCUAGGGGGCUGGGUAAAUGGACCACUCCAGCUUGUACUGCUCACCAUAGUCAACAGAUUGGAGCUCCAUCAGCAAGAGGUCAACCCAGAACCAGUUCCCCAACCAAAGCCCUGUGGAAAAUCAAGAAGCCCUGAAGAGCUGUGCACUGAUUGGCCAGUUUAUGAAUUUGGUCCAAGACUAGGUCAGUGAUUUCCUUGCCAAUGUUAUAGUGCCCUCAGGUAUAGUUAUUGGCAGCAUCUUACUUGCCUAUAAUGAGCUGCUCAGGGGAGAAGAGCUGACAGUAGGUGCCAAUGUGAAUUUCAUUAAUGACUGUGGGCUCUAGGUCUACAAAUACUGCCCUGGGCACACGCUUGCCAGUGCUUGUCUCACUAAAGAAGGUGUUGAAAGAGUCAUCUCUUCCCCCAGUGGUCUUAUCACUUGGCAUCUGGCCAUUGGGUUGGAUGCCAAGUUCCAGGCAGUUGUGGUCCCAGCAGGCAUUACCAGUCUGGACACCAGCCCGGCCAACGUGGAUGGAGAGACGCUCACACAUUGUUGCUGCUUCACAGCCGCUGAGCAGGUGGCAGAGACGAAGAGGAGAGGUGGUUGCUUCUUAUGCCAUGACUCUUAGGUGGUUGAUGCCCAGAAUAUGA
rnacentral:lncRNA from 1 species